rnacentral:rRNA from 1 species
GUCCAGCACACUACUGACGCUCAUGCACGAAAGCGUGGGUAUCGAACAGGAUUAGAUACCCUGGUAGUCCACGCGGUAAACGAUGAUAACUAGUUAUCCGGCUAAAUUGGUAGCUGGGUGACCGAGCGAAAGCGUUAAGUUAUCCACCUGGGGAGUACGCCGGCAACGGUGAAACUCAAAGGAAUUGACGGGGGCCCGCACAAGCGGAGGAACAUGUGGUUUAAUUCGAUGAUACGCGAGGAACCUUACCCGGGCUCAAACGCAAGGCGCUACACCCUGAAAGGGGUGGUUCUUCGGACGUCUUGCGAGGUGCUGCAUGGUUGUCGUCAGCUCGUGCCGUGAGGUGUCGGCUUAAGUGCCAUAACGAGCGCAACCCCCAUCUUCAGUUGCCAUCGGUUCAAGCCGGGCACUCUGGAGAGACUGCCGGCGCAAGCUGUGAGGAAGGCGGGGAUGACGUCAAAUCAGCACGGCCCUUACGUCCGGGGCGACACACGUGUUACAAUGGCGGGGUGACAGCGGGAAGCCAGGCGGCGACGCCGAGCCGAUCCCGAAAACCCGUCUCAGUUCGGAUCGGAGUCUGCAACCCGACUCCGUGAAGCUG